UUUUUUUUCACUUUGAAGUUUAAAAUGUUUUCAUUUUAAGUGUUGUACUUGAUAUUAAUAUAAUCAAAUUGUUUGAAUAAGUUCAUUGGUUUCGUGGAAUAAAUUAUUUUAUUGCAUAGUUUUAGUGCUCUGAAUAAAAAUCGAUGAUGAAAACUUUGUAGAUGCCCCAAAAAGACCUAAUGGUCUCGUCACAGAGCAUCACGGAAGUGCAUUUAACCAGGAAAUUUACGCCUCCUGCUUUACUGCGACGCAAAAAUAUGUCCAAAUUUUGUUUCGAACCUGGAUCUCCUGCUAAUAAAUCAAGCGCUCUAACCACUGCGCUACAGCCGCUUAAUGAUUGCAUCUAAAACUGCUUUGGUCAUCAUUGAACAAAUCAUUUUGUUUAAAGUACGCAGUUACCCUUUUAGCAAUUAUUUGUUCAAACAUUUUUCUUAGUGGAGAUACUAUAGUAAUACUUCAAUAACUAUUGAUAUAUUGAA